AUCUGGUUGCCAGUGAUAGCGAGACAACAGGAUUAACAAGGGUGAUACGCGGAAAAAUCGAUAUUCUGGUUGUGGAUGAUGAUGUAAGCCACUGCACGAUUUUACAGGCGCUGCUUCGGGGCUGGGGCUAUAACGUCGCUCUGGCCUACAGUGGGCAUGAUGCGUUGGCUCAGGUGCGUGAGAAAGUCUUUGAUCUGGUACUGUGCGAUGUGCGUAUGGCGGAGAUGGACGGUAUCGCCACGCUGAAGGAGAUUAAAG
rnacentral:misc_RNA from 1 species